rnacentral:rRNA from 1 species
UACAGAGGGUGCGAGCGUUGUCCGGAAUCACUGGGCGUAAAGGGCGCGUAGGUGGCGACCCAAGUCUGUGGUGGAAAGCUCGACGCUCAACCGUCGAGUCGGCCAUAGAUACUGGGUUGCUUGAGCACUGUAGAGGCAGAUGGGAAUUCCGGGUGUAGCGGUGGGAAUGCGUAGAGAUCCGGAAGAACACCGGUGGCGAAGGCGGUCUCUGGGCAGUGCUGACA